UACAGAGGGUGCGAGCGUUAAUCGGAAUUACUGGGCGUAAAGCGCGCGUAGGCGGUUUUGUAAGUCGGGUGUGAAAUCCCCAGGCUCAACCUGGGGAACUGCAUUCGAGACUGCAUAGCUAGAGUAUGGGGAGAGGGAAGUGGAAUUUCAGGUGUAGCGGUGAAAUGCGUAGAUAUCUGAAGGAACAUCAGUGGGCGAAAA
rnacentral:rRNA from 1 species